GCGUCCGCUCCAGCCAUCUCCGGGCAAAACACCACAAAAAAUUGAGGUCGACAUUUCAUUGUAAUAAUUAGAGGAACGCAAUGGAGUUACAGUCACAUUAGUCGUGAACUGUCUUCCAAGUUUUCCUUCCAUGUCAGGUGUCGAUCCAAAUUCCUUUGCUAGUGCUUGCCUAAUGCCCAUACUAUACGUUUCUUCAGGUCGGCCAUUUGCAUAGGCAGGUCCCA
rnacentral:misc_RNA from 1 species